rnacentral:rRNA from 1 species
GACGAACGCUGGCGGCGUGCUUAACACAUGCAAGUCGAACGGAAAGGCCCUGCUUUUGUGGGGUGCUCGAGUGGCGAACGGGUGAGUAACACGUGAGUAACCUGCCCUUGACUUUGGGAUAACUUCAGGAAACUGGGGCUAAUACCGGAUAGGAGCUCCUGCUGCAUGGUGGGGGUUGGAAAGUUUCGGCGGUUGGGGAUGGACGCGCGGCUUAUCAGCUUGUUGGUGGGGUAGUGGCUUACCAAGGCUUUGACGGGUAGCCGGCCUGAGAGGGUGACCGGGGACAUUGGGACUGAGGGAGGGACCAGACGGCAACGGGGGACAGCAGUGGGGAGUAUGGUACAGUGGUCUGGCGCCUGAGAAGGCGACGCCGCGUGUGGGAAGACGGCCUUGGGGUGGUGAACCGCAUUCACCUGUUACGAUGCGUGUGUGACGGUAAUGGGUAAAUAAGCACCGGCUAACUACGUG